UAUCGGCCGAUCGCCUUGAGUUGAUAUGGCUCAGGACGAACGCUGGCGGCGUGCUUAACACAUGCAAGUCGAGCGAGGGCCAACCCGUGGCAACACGGGGGACGCCCUAGCGGCGAACGGGUGAGUAACACGUGAGCAACCUGCCCCGAAGACUGGGAUAACACCGGGAAACCGGUGCUAAUACCGGAUGCCCUCAUGGAGUCGCAUGGCUCUGUGAGGAAAUGGAUUCCGCUUCGGGAGGGGCUCGCGGCCUAUCAGCUUGUUGGUGGGGUAACGGCCUACCAAGGCGACGACGGGUAGCUGGUCUGAGAGGACGGCCAGCCACACUGGGACUGAGACACGGCCCAGACUCCUACGGGAGGCAGCAGUGGGGAAUCUUGCGCAAUGGGCGAAAGCCUGACGCAGCAACGCCGCGUGCGGGACGAAGGCCUUCGGGUUGUAAACCGCUUUCAGCAGGGACGAACAUGACGGUACCUGCAGAAGAAGCCCCGGCCAACUACGUGCCAGCAGCCGCGGUAAUACGUAGGGGGCGAGCGUUGUCCGGAUUUAUUGGGCGUAAAGAGCUCGUAGGCGGUUUGGCAAGUCGGGUGUGAAAACUCCGGGCUCAACUCGGAGACGCCACUCGAUACUGCCAUGACUCGAGUCCGGUAGGGGAGUGCGGAAUUCCUGGUGUAGCGGUGGAAUGCGCAGAUAUCAGGAGGAACACCAACGGCGAAGGCAGCUCGCUGGGACGGUACUGACGCUAAGGCGCGAAAGCGUGNGGA
rnacentral:rRNA from 1 species